GACGAACGCUGGCGGCGUGCUUAACACAUGCAAGUCGAACGAAGAGCGAUGGAAGCUUGCUUCUCUCAAUCUUAGUGGCGAACGGGUGAGUAACGCGUAAUCAACCUGCCCUUCAGAGGGGGACAACAGUUGGAAACGACUGCUAAUACCGCAUACGAUCUGACAUCGGUAUCGAGGAUAGAUGAAAGGUGGCCUCUACAUGUAAGCUAUCCCUGAAGGAGGGGAUUGCGUCUGAUUAGCUAGUUGGUGGGGUAACGGCCCACCAAGGCGAGGAUCAGUAGCCGGUCUGAGAGGAUGAGCGGCCACAUUGGGACGGAGAGACGGCCCAGACUCCUACGGGAGGCAGCAGGGGGGAACCUUCCGCAAUGGACGAAAGUCUGACGGAGAAACGCCGCGUGAGUGAUGACGGCCUUCGGGUUGUAAAGGUCUGUUAAUCGGGACGAAAGGCCUUUUUGCGAAUAGUGAGAAGGAUUGACGGUACCGGAAGAGAAAGCCACGGCUAACUACGUG
rnacentral:rRNA from 1 species